AACGAACGCUGGCGGCAGGCUUAACACAUGCAAGUCGAGCGCCCCGCAAGGGGAGCGGCAGACGGGUGAGUAACGCGUGGGAAUCUACCCAGCCCUACGGAAUAGCUCCGGGAAACUGGAAUUAAUACCGUAUACGUCCGAGAGGAGAAAGAUUUAUCGGGGUUGGAUGAGCCCGCGUUGGAUUAGCUAGUUGGUGGGGUAAUGGCCCACCAAGGCGACGAUCCAUAGCUGGUCUGAGAGGAUGAUCAGCCACACUGGGACUGAGACACGGCCCAGACUCCUACGGGAGGCAGCAGUGGGGAAUAUUGGACAAUGGGCGAAAGCCUGAUCCAGCCAUGCCGCGUGAGUGAUGAAGGCCCUAGGGUUGUAAAGCUCUUUCACCGGUGAAGAUAAUGACGGUAACCGGAGAAGAAGCCCCGGCUAACUUCGUGCCAGCAGCCGCGGUAAUAC
rnacentral:rRNA from 1 species